CUAGGAUCGCCAUCAAUUGCAUCUCAUGUUGCAACCAAAUUAACUUCCACAUGUACUGCAAACAAAGGAACAACUGAUUCAAUCAAGGGUAACUGUUUAUAUAGUUCUAGCUGAAGGAAAUGACAAACAUGACCUACCUAAAAAGGCAAAUAAAAGAUCAUGAGAUUAGACCAGAUAGACAAACGUUGUAUUCGAGUGCCACUUGGGCCAAGGAGGUUGAAGCACUGGCUAGGCAGUUUUUGCAUAAUCCCUACAAGGUAAGUACUGUAGCCAUUUUAUAA